GACUAUGCAGCGGACCUGACCUUCAGCUUCUUACUCCAUUUAUUUGUCCCAGCGGGUGAAAAUGGACAACAGGUCGACCACCUUCCUAACCACCCCUAACCGGAGAGUUCCCAUCAUGGCUCAGUGGUUAACAAAUCCAACUAGUAUCUAUGAGGACAUGAGUUCAAUCCCGAGCCUCACUCAGUGGGUUGAGGAUCCAGCAUUGCCAUGAGCUGUGGUGUAGGUCACAGAUGCGGCUUGGAUCUGGCGUUGCUGUGGCUGUGGUGUACUCCAGCAGCUAUAGCUUUGAUUCGACCCCUAAUCUGGGACCCUCCAUAUGCCAUGAGUGCAGCCCUAAAUAGAUGAAAGACAAAACAACAAAAAAGGAAUAACUCCUGUAGUGUGCAUAGCACUUUCCAGCUUAUAAAGCAUUUCCAUACCCAUUGUUUCAUUUAAUGUCUGAUACAAUCCCACCAUCUGGCAUUAUCACUCCUGUUCUACUGAUGAGCUUCAGAGAUAGAAGUAAUUGGCCAGGUUCAUGUAGCUAAAAAGUGAUGGAGCUAAGGCUGGAAUCAUGAUCAUAGGACUUCCAGUCCUAGAGUUUUUCUAGGUCCUAGACAUCUCAACGGCCUCCCAACUCCUAGCGGACCCUGAGUGGAGCACUGGCACUAGUGGGUGUGGUGCUGUGUGGUAGCGGGUAUGUCUUGCUGUGUGACAGUGCCCCUGUGUAGGCUUGGGUUUGUGGUUGAGUCCUCCAGCUAUGGUGCAGGUCAGUGAGAACUGACUCUUAGGUGCUUCUUUGGAUCCCUCCAGCAUCCAGCUCAAGAUGGAACAUAAAGGAGGGUCUCAAACAUGAGUGGAAUCGUUGUUGGCCUGCAGAAAUGCCAGCUGUAUGAACUCGCUGGAAUGAAACCCUUUGAAGGAACCAGCUCCUGGGAAGACAUGAGGACAGUGUGGAUGUGUGGGGCCUGGAAGACUCCCACCCCUCUCCUCCUCCAGUUGGAGCUCUGUUCAAAAAUAUUCGAUGAUCAUGAGAUCUCAGUAUGGGAGCCAGGAGUUGGCAGCCUCUCAAAAUUACGGAAUGGAGACCUAGGAGUGACCCCCACCCCAGACCAAGUGGAGGGAGGAAAAGAGAAUCUCGGACUGAUCGGAACCAUCCUAAACAUCUGGGAUUUAGGAGUUCUUGUGGCUCAGUGGGUCAAGAACCCGACUAGUAUCCAUGAGGAUGUAGGUUCAAUCCCUGGCCUCACUCAGGGGGUUAAGGAUCUGGCAUUGCUUCAAGCUGCAGUGUAGGUUGCAGACUCAGCUUGGAUCUGGCAUUCCUGUGGCUGUGUUGCAGGUUGGCAGCUAUAGCUCUGAUUUGA
rnacentral:lncRNA from 1 species